rnacentral:rRNA from 1 species
AACGAACGCUGGCGGCAGGCUUAACACAUGCAAGUCGAACGCCCCGCAAGGGGAGUGGCAGACGGGUGAGUAACGCGUGGGAACAUACCCUUUCCUGCGGAAUAGCUCUGGGAAACUGGAAUUAAUACCGCAUACGCCCUACGGGGGAAAGAUUUAUCGGGGAAGGAUUGACCCGCGUUGGAUUAGCUAGUUGGUGGGGUAAAGGCCUACCAAGGCGACGAUCCAUAGCUGGUCUGAGAGGAUGAUCAGCCACAUUGGGACUGAGACACGGCCCAAAAUCCUACGGGAGGCAGCAGUGGGGAAUAUUGGACAAUGGGCGCAAGCCUGAUCCAGCCAUGCCGCGUGAGUGAUGAAGGCCUUAGGGUUGUAAAGCUCUUUCACCGAUGAAGAUAAUGACGGUAGUCGGAGAAGAAGCCCCGGCUAACUCCGUGCCAGCAGCCGCAGUAACAC